CGAGAUCACUAUUAAUUUUAAGAUGCCACAACAAUACAUCCAUCCUCUUCAUAUCAUCAAGACAAAAACAAGAUCACAUAUUUUGCAGCGGAUUAAGAUAACAAUUUCAACUGAUGCUAGGGUUUCUUUAGAAAUACAACAUUACAAACUGUAGGCUCCUUGUAGAGAAAGAUCAGAUAUAUUGAAGAUAAAUCCACCAAAUAGGACUACCCAACAGAUUACAAAUAGUGCAAUCAUGUCCAGCAAUGACUUCACUAUCCAUGUCAUUGUUGUUAGUGGGCACGACAAAAUAUCCGGUGGAGCCUCUGUCUCCCGUGCACCACACAGUCUCCGGUGGUUCCCAGCUAAGCUAGGCUCGCCCGAAUCACAAUUUGGCAGACGACAUUGUUAUAUCAUCAGUAAUGUUUGAAUUAGAAUUUGGGAUACCCGUCGUGCAAACAGAAUAAUCAGCUUCUCUGUUUCUAUAAACAAAAAGUAAACACACUCCAUCAGCGUGUAACUGCAACUAUCAACACCAGGCCAUAAAUUUCUUAGAUUUUGAAUCCAGAUUGAACUAUAGAUUUAUUAGCAAAAAAGACUGCAUCUGAAAAAACAAAUAUUGUACCAGAACAUGCAUUUGUAGAACUUGAUACCAUGGAAAUAAAGUAUGGUGCAAUGGAAAUAAUAAUAAACUUGAUCAAGAAAUUUUCUGAUUAGCAUGGUACUUGCAAGGUAUUAUGACUGGACCACUACUAAACGACUACUGAAACAUAUAUAUGUUUAUAGCUCCACAUUCAAUGCGAAAAUAUGAAGAUUGUUAGCAAAUCCAUUGAGAGUAGCAUUGGUGCAUAUGCAAAUCAUCAUACUAAUUAGAAGAGCAUACCCUGCGGCCUGCGCCUCCUCGGUCACUACAUCGAGCCCAGUCUUCUUGGCAGUCGCCUUGGACUUGGCAGCAUGCAGCCCCUGCCUCUGGUGUGUCCAUGUUGUUUGCGACAAUUCUCCAGUCCAUGGUGCCAAUCCUUGUGAACUGCCAAGUUUCAGUACCAGUGCAAAAGAAGAGUAACUAUUCAAAUCAACCUAGUGCAAGCUGCUACCUGGCACUUGCAGCUGCCAUUCAAAAAAAUGUGUGUGACAAGAUGGUUUUAUAAGAACUUAUGCAAUUUCCCUAUGAAAGCUCUAAUGCAAACACAUUAAUUACACAUAUCUCAUACAAUCAUGGUUGCCAUCUUGAAAACAAGAUCUCGCACAUGGACUGACAUAUUUUAAACACAGUAUUACAAUCUCCAUCACAACAGUUCAGAGAUGAAUGUAGGCAUAGAAAAGUAACUGAAAAUUUCUAAAACUCAUAUCUGACGAAACUCGAUAGUCAAAACUUUUCACCAACAGAAUAUAUACAUGGAUCAGUGUGCAACGCAUGUAAUAAUUAAACACAAGGCAAAAGGACUAUAUAACAGAAAACCUGGCGCAUUUCAUUCUGCUACUGCUACUGAAUAUCAAGGUGUUUUCAGAUAUCAAGGUAGGCCUCUGCUAUUUCUAGGGCGUUCACAUCCCCUAGCGCAUUUCUACUGCUACUGCUACUGUAUAUCUGAAAACUUUUCACCAACAGAAUAUAUACAUGUUCUCACUACUGCUACUGAAUAUCAAGGCAUUUUUCAUACUGCAUUUUUCCAGGCUUCAGCUUACAUUCUUUUUCCUAAUACAUUUUCAGAUUAGGCUCACCCAUUACCAUACAACUUUUAGAACGAAUAAAUCAUAUAUUACACAUAAACUGCUGAGAGAAAAAUAGAAUAAGGGAAAGAACCUUGAACCACCGACACACACAACUUCCAACAUAGAACCUCUGGUGAAGUUGCAACAUUUGCAUCUCUUCAAGCGGCAGUCCCCCAUGCUAAGUCUCUGCUUCUAAGCUAAUCAGUAAAACAACACCAACAAUCAAUUAUUCGGUUUAUUAAAUCUACAUGCUAUUUGAGCCAUUGUAAUCUUUACUCACAUGCAUUUGUUAGAAAAUUAGGGGCAUCCUGAAGCAAACAAACAAAUUAAGAGAAGACCAAAACAAAGGAGAAACACGGUUAACAACGGCCUGAAGUUCUAUUUUUGUCAUACCGUAAUACAUAAGAAUAUGUGACUAAAACAUUUCUAAACAGAGGACCGACAGACAUGGCAUAUUUAAUACCAUGGAGGCUUAAAUUGUGUGUGACCUAUGUGGUUGUGAAUUUCGUCAAAUUCCAAUGAAAGGGCUUCGGAGACUACCUUGUAAGUUCUUCUACAGCAUAAAUCUCUUUGCAUCAUUCGAUUCUUACUUUGCAAACAGCAGUAGCCAUUAUAUGAGGGCUAUAGUAUGUUUGAUUGACACAUCAUGUGCACCAAUGUGUAAACCUGAGUUCAACACCUGCCAUCACAUUCAGUUAUUCACUUUCUCUUCUUAGAAGCCCCAAACUGAUUAAAAACAGGAAAAAUGAUAAUACAUCAGGAAAUAUAAAAUGCAUAGCAACAACAAGCAGGAGCACAUUUAGGCUGCAGUACAGCCUAAAAAUUGCCGACCAAAUUUAAGCACGGUAAAAUAGUUAUAAGCAGAUCCAUGACAUAUAUAUUCUUACCGAAUUGGUGGCCUAUCUCCAAGUAUUUCAUUCCUCAUUCUAGAAAUUUGUCAAGAGCACUACUGGACAAACUGAAGUUGCACCGGAGGCAAGACAAAGAUCAGAAGAUAUAUGUUGCUUCCCUGGGUGAAUGUCCAGAUUCAAUUCGCUCGCCGUCCGCCGCUGCAUGUCCUCCACAUGAAAUUAGCAG
rnacentral:lncRNA from 1 species